rnacentral:rRNA from 1 species
UAGGGAAUCUUCCACAAUGGACGCAAGUCUGAUGGGAGCAACGCCGCGUGAGUGAAGAAAGGUUUUCGGACCGUAAAGCUCUGUUGUUGGUGAAGAAGGAUAGGGGUAGUAACUGGCCUUUAUUUGACGGUAAUCAACCAGAAAGUCACGGCUAACUACGUGCCAGCAGCCGCGGUAAUACGUAGGUGGCAAGCGUUGUCCGGAUUUAUUGGGCGUAAAGCGAGCGCAGGCGGAAGAAUAAGUCUGAUGUGAAAGCCCUCGGCUUAACCGAGGAAUUGCAUCGGAAACUGUUUUCUUGAGUGCAGAAGAGGAGAGUAGAACUCCAUGUGUAGCGGUGGAAUGCGUAGAUAUAUGGAAGAAUACCAGUGGCGAAGGCGGCUCUCUGGUCUGCAACUGACGCUGAGGCUCGAAAGCAUGGGUAGCGAACAGGAUUAGAUACCCUGGUAGUCCAUGCCGUAAACGAUGAGUGCUAAGUGUUGGGAGGCUUCCGCCUCUCAGUGCUGCAGCUAACGCAUUAAGCACUCCGCCUGGGGGAGUACGACCGCAAGGUUGAAAC